GACUGCGUGGCACAGUGGUUUGAGUUUUGGGACUCCCAAUUCUGAAGACCAGGGUUUGAGUCCUUGCUCAGCUA